ensembl:snRNA U6 U6 spliceosomal RNA
UACUUUUUAAGUAACAUACUAAAAUUAAAAUGAUACAGAGAAGAUUAGUAUAGCCCCUGUGCAAGAAUGACAUGCAAAUUCUUGAGGCAUUCUAUUUUUAA